AACAAGUUGACUUAGCGCUCAGUCAUGCUGUCUAAAAAUCAUGUUUUAAGCACACAUAUAGUGGAAUACAAAUCUGCCGAGUUAAGGAUCUAUUCUGAAUCUCACAAUUUUGGUGGCGUACCCUGCAACAGCAUGUUUGUUGUUAUGGCUGUUUUUAGUUUUGUUUAGAAGGCAACCCAGCUAAGAGAUAGAGUUUCAGUGACAUGAAGACUGUGAAGUGAACCACCUAUCACCAUGCUACUGC